rnacentral:rRNA from 1 species
UACAGAGGGUGCAAGCGUUAUCCGGAUUUAUUGGGCGUAAAGCGUUUCGUAGGUGACUGGGCAAGUUAUCUUUCAAAGACCACGGCUUAACCGGGGGAAGGGAGGUAAUACUACCUAGUUUGAUUUAUGGUGGGGCUUCUGGAACUGAUGGUGUAGUAGUGAAAUACGUUGAUAUCAUCAGGAACUCCAAGGGCGAAGGCAGGAAGCUAACCAUGUAAUGACACUGAGGAACGACAGCUAGGGGA